rnacentral:rRNA from 1 species
UACGGAGGAUCCAAGCGUUAUCCGGAUUUAUUGGGUUUAAAGGGUGCGUAGGCGGACAGGUAAGUCAGUGGUGAAAUCUCUGGGCUUAACUCAGAAACUGCCGUUGAUACUAUUUGUCUUGAAUAUUCUGGAGGUAAGCGGAAUAUGUCAUGUAGCGGUGAAAUGCUUAGAUAUGACAUAGAACACCGAUAGCGAAGGCAGCUUACUACAGGAACAUUGACGCUGAGGCACGAAAGCGUGGGGAGCAAACAGG